AUCACAUCAUCACAGGAAACUCUUUCUUUCAUCAUAAUUUCAUUCACCACUAGGUGUCCCUAGCGUACUCAUUUGAAGCUUCGAGGUCGAACCACUUUGAUGGUUCAUCUGGCUGCGAGGCUUUGACGUUUCAUGAGGCAUCAUCUCGGCACCACUACACUUCCAUAUGAGGCACUUCCGCUUUCUGCACACGCCUCCUUAAUUUCACAGAUAAUUUAGGGAAAUAAAUAACUUCUAGAAGUAGGCCUAGCAGAGCGACAUCGAUGAAGAGCAAGAUUGUCGACAAAGAGGAGAGGACAAAGAACCCAAGUUGCCAGCUUCCUCCGGCAGAAGAUUUGCACUUUUUUCUUCUUCAUGCAAGUCUCUGAAACGUCUGUAAGGGGUGGACUUGGACAAAAAUUCAGCCCUGGCGUUAUCUGUCCAGACCAACCCACUACAUUAUCAGCACUAGGGGUGGGACGGGACGAACGGGAAGAACCCUGUAUGUACUUGAUUAAAACAAUUUAAUCAAGUACAUACAUCCGAAUAUAGUACAGCACUGCAAAUAGCAGUUGUUGCUUUUUUUUGUUUUUGUUUUUCAAGUUUGUGUCUCUUGUGCUGCUGACAAGUGUGUGCUGCUGGAGAAACCUGAACAGGAUCAAAGUUAACAGACAUGCUGCGGUCGCUGCAUCUCCAACCCCCAUACGCAGUGGUAUAGUCUACGUGAUACGCAGUUGCCUUAUUAGGUCCUCCACAGUCGCCCCAUCAGUCCCUGGCAGUCUGGUCCCUGGAGCAGCUGGCCCUGGCAAAAGUUAUUCCUUCACUGUUGACCCCUGACUGACCCUCGGCACACAAAUCCCUGGAUCACCUGCCACUGGAUCACCUGCCCUGAAUCACCUGCCCCUGGCAAUGUGGCCUCUUGAUUGCUCUCUGUGUCUCCUGUGAUGUCCUUUUCAACGCUCUUGAAAUCCACCUAAAUUUCUCCCUCAAUCUCUGUAACAAUUACAAGGUAAUGUUGAUGCUAUAUGUAUUUUGCCUUUGCAUUUGCAACUACUGUCAUCUCCAAUGUAAGAAAAUGAAUUAAAGCAAAACAUUUCUGUAAUGUGAAUUAAAUCAUCUGCCACAAUCAGAAACCAAUACAAUUUAUAAAUGGAUCUACCGGCAAUUGUUAAUUGGGUAAAAAUGUGUCGAUUAUCUACAUUGUGUGCAAAUCCUCAGAGAAUCCCUGCCUUCUGGUUGUUUUUUUAAACUGAAUGUGCAAACAUGAAUUAUGUAAUCUCAUUAGGAGUGUAGUCUAUCCUAGAAUUACAUGAAAUGGGGAAUAUUGUAAGCUGCAUGGAUCAUACCGAAGUUUAAUUUGGCGCAAUAUGGGUGGUCCGUUGCACUUGGUUCC
ensembl:lncRNA